UACAUUCCAUGACAACACAAGCGUUUAGUUGCCUUUAAAGUAAUCAAGAGGAAAGUAUCAACAUAUCAGUUCAUAUUAAAGAACAAAAAUUACGAUCUGCUCAAGUAAGCAUCAUUCAUAAUUGAGAAUUAGCCUUAAAAAUGAUUAAGCUAACCUACCCUGACCACUUGCCAUUUGAGCUGAUGCUUUGAACAAUGCUCAAACAUGGAACAGGUUCUUUUAUCAUUUCAACUGUAUCAUACGUUAAUGACCCACUCUAACUAAAAUCAACUGUUAUCCCUCCAACAAUUAGCUCGACUGACAGCAUUAUUUCAUUUUCAUUCCAAAGUAACCUUUUAAUUUGUUAUAGAAAACACCCGUCCUAAGCGCUGAAAGGAUUUUCAAAGAAAGAACCAAAAAGGGGCUAACAUAACAUCCGAAACACCCCCUCCCACAAAAAAGAAAAAAAAAAUGAGUUUUGAGACCUGAAGAAAAGAAAAAGGCUAAAAAAAAUUAUUUUCUCUUCUGUUUCACUAGAUGAAGAAGGAAAAAAGGAAAGAGUUUAUAAAAACAGGUAACCAAAAAGUUGUACAAAGUUAUUAGUCCACUUGAAAGGAUCAGCACUCUACAUUAACCACAAACAAACUUACUUUUCAAACUAGUACCCAUAUGCACCAAAUCUUCUCUUGUUUACAAGGAAAAAAAGUUGAAAAAGAGUUGAUUUAUGAAAUAUGCAAAGGUUUUACUCACCCACAAUAAAAAACCCAAAUACAAAAAGCAAAAUUUAUUCUUGUGUUCUCAACGUCCAAACAACUAAAGAUUCCGAUCCUCAAAAGAAUUUCAAUAGCUACUCCCUGCACCUUUCCCCGACCACCAAACAUAAUACAGUUAAUAUAUAUACUCACCAAUUCAACAAUCAAAUGAAUAUCCAAACAUAUAAUACCAAAUGGAAUAUAACAAAUACCAAAGCAUCCUAAAAUUUGAUUUCUAUUUCACACAUUCUAGUAUUUCUCUUCUUCUACAAUGUCUCUCCUUUUCCAUCAUUUCUAGAACUUACCCGGCGACAAAACAAACAAAAAAUUAUGAAAACCUCACAAAG
rnacentral:misc_RNA from 1 species